UAUAUUUCCAAUACACACAUUCUCUGUGUAUUGGAAAUCCAUGGGGCAGCACACAGAUAUGUCCUGCUUUCAGAAAAACAAAGUUAUAUUCUCUGUCCAACGUUGUUCUACUCUCCAGUGCCAAUUAUAUUUAAAAUACUGUUGCCCAGGGAAGAGAAGAUACCGUGUAACACCCACACAAUCAAUUUCACAAGGCCAUCAUGACGGCAGCACACCAUUCUCCUAUCUGACUGAACUGGUGCCACUCGAGACAGAAGGAGCCAUUUAAAAGAGGAGUGUCACUUACAAAGAGGAAAAGGCAAAGGAAGCUGAAGUCACCAGAUUUUGUACCGCCUCACCAUCUCUGCUACUGCCCAUAUGGAAGAGGGAGGAAGACGCUUCAAGUACUCUGAACCUUCAAGUUCAACUGAGUCACCUUCAAGACCAUCUCUGUAGGGAUCAGCUCACGAUGGAAAGAGUCAUCUGAAUGGGGGACGCCAGCCCUGGAGGAGAGCAGAUCACGAGAACCACAGCUUCCAUGAGUCACUGUGGUAGGCAUAUGGGACACAGGGAUCAGGCCAGCAACUUCCAGCAUUUCCCAUUUAAACAUUGCUUUUUGUGCCUCAUCAGGAAGAGAACCCUGGAGCUUAUUUUUUGAUACAAAUUCACAUGCUUAACCAUAUAAAAAAAUAGGCUUAUUGCAUGGCCUGUU